ensembl:lncRNA
CUCUGAGCUGCCUGUGCAGCAUCCCCUCCUCCAUGCUGCCCACUCCCUGGCCUGGCUGAGAGCUGUGCUGGCCAGUCUCUCAUUCCAGAGCAGAAGGAUACCACCACACGGUCAGCUUCAGCUGGGCUCUCUACACCAGCCUUUUCCUUGUCCUUGCUGAGCUCCUGCUUCCAUCCCGCCAACAAUGAUUCCAGAACAUCACCUCUUUCCUCAAGACUCCUCUUCUCACUGCCAUACCUCUGAGAGGGGAGCUUCAGCUUCCCAGGCCCCUGACUACAAAGUUGUCUCCUGUCAGGAACUGCGAAGGGUCUGAGAUUUACCCAGGGUGCAAACUAACCGGUCAGCCUGGUGCAGCUUUAUGGAUGCUGGCGGGAGACACGAGACUCCUGGGUCAGAGACAAAGGACUUUAUUACUCAAGGAUCAGCUAACAGCAGUAGGCUUCAUGAUUGUGUCACUCCUCCUUGCCCCUCAAGCCCCGUGAGGGUGAGAGAGACAUUAUCUAUGAUACUGGACUGUAAGAAAAUCUGCCCUGCGCUCCAGAGGGGGCACUAUCUUUAUCUUCCAAGGCAGUUUGCUAUACCAACAUUCUUGAAAAGAUAAUCUGGAACAAAAGGGCAGUUAGUGCCUCUGCUCCUGUGCAGAAAUGCGACAGACCCACCCAGAAUUGUCUCCUAACAUAUUCCUGCCCACACAUCUUCGCCUGCAUUCCUCCAGGCUCUCCUCCUCCAGGCUCUCCUCCUCCAGUGAAAGCCAGCCUCUCUCCUGUGUCCUCCCACCUCUUCCGGCCUUGCUUUGGCUGCCAUUCCCCCCCCCCCCCCCCACCUGGGUCCUUAUCCCAGUUUAUGAAUAUGCCCCCAAAUAUCUCAUCCUAAAAAGCACAGCAAAACAAAGUCACACAAACGCAAACCUCUGUUGAGCUGGCACUCUUGUUUUUGGAGCUGUCAGUCGAUUCAGACUCCUAGCAACCCUGUGGACACCAGGGCUGGACCCUUUUCGGUCUUUUUGCGCCAUCCUCUCACCUUCCAGCACUCUGUCAGACGAUGCUCUGGUGCUGUUCAUAGGGUUUUCAUGACCAACUUUUCCAGAGGUGGGAAGCUCUGCUGAAACCUGUCCACCAUGGGUGACCCUGGUGGUAUUUGAGAUAGUGGUGGCAUAGCUUUCAGCAUCACAGCAACACACAGCUGCCACAGUAUGAUGACCCCCAGACAGGUGGUGUGGUUCCCUGACCUGGUGAGGAACCUGGGCCACAGCAGGCACUUUCUUAGCUACUCUCUUUUCUUUUCAUCCGAGUUCUUGGUAGGGGAAGUCUGUGCUGUCUCCAUUUCUCUCUUCGUCUGGUUUCUUCUCCUACUGCACCACUGAAACUGUCCCCACCGAGGCCACCAGGGGCCUUCAUCAUUCCCGGUGGAGCAGAUGCUUUCCAGCACUAAUUCUGCUGUGUCUGCCUCUGUAUUUGAAUUUGACAGUGUCCUCCUCAGGGCUGCUUUUAGGCUUUGUUAUAUCCGACAUACGGCCACUGGCACAGGGCAGUUCCUGCUGACUCCAUUUUCCAGUCUAAGAGUCGGGCUUUCCUGCUUCUUUGCUUGUCUCAUAAAUUUUUCUUGGAAACUGGACACUUUAGAUAAUGUAUUGUAGCAACUCUUGGUCCUGGUUCACGGCACCCCCCUCCUCUGCCCCCCACUGCCCCAGGCUUGUUAUUUGCUUGUAUGUUUGGUGACUGGCUGGCUUAUUUUGGUGAAGCCUUCCCUCCGCUCACUUGAAGUGUUAACCCCCUGGUGUUGCUCUGCAGGGAGCGUAGUUCAGGGUAUGCCCACAGACGCCCUGGGAUGGCAAUGAUUUGGGCUAGGCGCCCUUCAUCUCUUUCCCUGACCACAUCCAGCUAUUAAGCUCCAUUAAUUGCCAGCUGAUCGCUCUAUUGUUUACAGCAAGGCUCAGGGGCAUCAAUGGCUCUACAGGCUUAGGCUCCUUUGAAGGAGUAGCCCCUGUAGUAUUCUGACCUCAGGAGGGCUCCUCCCAGCUGACUCUUUCCCUGGUUCUCCCCUGCAAACUAGCCGGUUUACACUUUAGACUGCAUCUUCGCCGGCUCUACCAACCUCCUCCAAGUUCCCUUUCACAAACUCCAGUUUUUGAGAGCAGCCUUAGGCUUGAACUUCUCCACCCUCUGUUGCAGAUAGUCAGUUCCUUUGGAAAGAGUUUAGGACCUAUCUGUUUUACAGCCUGCUUCUGUCCCGGGCAAAAUCCCCCAGCCAGGGCUCUGGAGCUGGGCUGGGGACAAUGGUGUGCUUCUUUCAGAGUGAUAGCCCUGUUUAGGAGUUGAGCAUGUGGUGGAAGGGAGGAAUUAGCCUCAGGUCUUCUCAGCUUGCCUCUCCUGGUGUGAAACCAGCACUUUCUAACUCAGGUCAGGCAUGAUUGUGACAUCAUGCCGUGAGAGAGCCUCCACUGCGGAACAGGAGUCCCCACCUCUUGGCCAUACUUGCCCGGAACUCAGCCUCAGCCACAGGUAGCUGGGGCAGCAUGAGAAAUGCUGAUGUCCGGCUCCUCCCCGGAAGAAAGCCCCUCACGGGGAGCUGAGGGGAGAGUGAGCCCUGUGCUCUUGGCUGCAGUCUGGAGUGGACUUUUUUCUCGCAUAAACCCACAAGGUUGAGGAGGAGAGGAGUAGAGAUCACAGCAACGCAAUUCUGGAAAUGGAAAGCAGAAGGAUAAGAGGAAGCUACUAGAGAACUUUCUCUACUAGGAAGAAGAAGACAUGGGCUAAAGAAAAGAGAUUCAACACAGAAAAGAGUUGCUAGGAUGACAGCAAAAACAUGAACCAGGCGAAGAGGGCAACCAGGCCAGAUUGCAGGAGCUCAGAAGCUCAGAGAAAGACUCAUUCCUCAAAAUGAUGGAACUGAUGGACUCUCUGGUGUAAAUAAACAGCCUGAAUAGAUAAUUAGGCAACUGGCCAAAAAUUUGGGGUAGAAUUGCUUAUAACUAUAUGGAAAACAAAGCAAACCCCAGAAUACAACAAGUAUUAAUGCUGGGGCAGAACGAUGGAAGUUGUGCAACAAAGAAAAAGUAAUUAUAGUUUACAGCACAGCCCAGCUGUGGAUAGCAUUUCCAUAACUGUAAUAACGUGAACACUGAAUUUGGAGCUAACCAAAAUUACGAUACAAUUAGGUUGAGGGGUGGGAAGCAUGCAUGUAGGCAAUGGGGCAGAUGUGGGAUAGGCAGCCAGAUCCUCAUCUUCCGUGUGCACGUCAGUGGGUAAUGCCUAAAACCAAAAGCAUAAGAAGCAUCGAUGUAAGCAUGUAAUUUAGAAGUUUGGAGGUAAAUGCCAAAGGGCUCAGCUGGAAGACUUGAAAGUGGCUGCCUCCGGGCAAGAGGAAAUAGCAGAGGGAGAGUGGCUGGGGACUACUGAUUCUGGAAAACAAAAUUCUCCCGGGGAAUGUACAAGUUGAAUUUUGUCCUCAGACCCAGUGCCUACAGAACUUGCCCGAGCUCUGAUUCUUCUCCUUCCAGGCUGUCACUGGUCUGGACCUCGCUUACUGCUUUAGUAAUGCUCCUGUCUUAUAUUUUCUGUGACAGCCUCACCUGUCUUCUUGUAGGCUUCAUAUAUGCGUGUUGUUCUGGCACUGGCGCCCCUGCCUCUACCCGCCUCUUUGCCUGGCUUGCUGUUUUUCCCUCACUCCCUCCAACUCCCACCUGCCUCACCUUUUUUCUGCCUUCCUGUGGGCUAUUUUAUUUUCAGCAUUCCAUUUUUAUCUAUCUGUAGCAGUUUUGAGUGUAUCUCUUUGUAGAGCUUUAUAUUAUAGGCCUUUAUAUCUAGGUAUUAUAUUAUAUAUACGUAACUCGUUAUAGUCUAUUGCUUUCCACAUUUGACCAGUUUGAGUGACGUGUACAAACCUUACCUCUAUUUAGACCCCAUUAUCCUUUCCCAUUUAUGAUACAAUUGUCUUCAAUAUUUCCUCUACAUACAUUUAGAACCACAUCAGACUACAAUUUUUGCUUUAAUCAACAUAAUUUGGAAAACUCAAGAAGAGAAGGAUAGUCUAUUAUGUUUACUCAUAUUUUGACGCUUUCCAUUGUUCGUUCUUCAUUCCACGUUCCAUCUUUCCUUCUUUUAUCAUUUCCUUUCUGUUUGGAGAACUUCCUGUAGCCAUUCCUUCGGGGUAGUUCUGCUGGUGAGGAAUCCUCUUAGCUUUCCUCAUCAGGUCUGAACUGUACUCUGUUACUCUGUUACUUUGGUCAGUCUAUCCUCGUGCCAAUAGCAUGUGGCCUUAAGUUCUGUAGCUCUGUAAACGUCUGGAUACCAGGUAGUGUGAGGCCUCCAACUUCGUGGUGUUCCUUCUUGGUUUUUCUUGGCCUUUUGCAUUUCCGCAUGCACUUUAGAAUCAGCUGUUGAUUUCUACAAAAAUGCCCUGGGAUUUGAGAGCACCUGAAAUCUGUAGAUUUAUUU